GGUUUCCGCCCCUGCGUGCGCAGCUAUAAUGCAGUCGAGCGGACUGAUGGGAGCUUGCUCCCUGAAGUCAGCGGCGGACGGGUGAGUAACACGUGGGUAACCUGCCUGUAAGACUGGGAUAACUCCGGGAAACCGGGGCUAAUACCGGAUAGUUCUUUUCCCCGCAUGGGGGAUGGUGGAAAGGCGGCUUCGGCUGCCACUUACAGAUGGACCCGCGGCGCAUUAGCUAGUUGGUGAGGUAACGGCUCACCAAGGCGACGAUGCGUAGCCGACCUGAGAGGGUGAUCGGCCACACUGGGACUGAGACACGGCCCAGACUCCUACGGGAGGCAGCAGUAGGGAAUCUUCCGCAAUGGACGAAAGUCUGACGGAGCAACGCCGCGUGAGUGAUGAAGGUUUUCGGAUCGUAAAGCUCUGUUGUUAGGGAAGAACAAGUGCCGUUCGAAUAGGGCGGCACCUUGACGGUACCUAACCAGAAAGCCACGGCUAACUACGUGCCAGCAGCCGCGGUAAUACGUAGGUGGCAAGCGUUGUCCGGAAUUAUUGGGCGUAAAGCGCGCGCAGGCGGUCUCUUAAGUCUGAUGUGAAAGCCCACGGCUCAACCGUGGAGGGUCAUUGGAAACUGGGGGACUUGAGUGCAGAAGAGGAAAGUGGAAUUCCACGUGUAGCGGUGAAAUGCGUAGAUAUGUGGAGGAACACCAGUGGCGAAGGCGACUUUCUGGUCUGUAACUGACCCUGAGCGCGAAAGCGUGGGGAGUCAAACA
rnacentral:rRNA from 1 species